AGCGAACGCUGGCGGCAGGCCUAACACAUGCAAGUCGAACGAACCCUUCGGGGUUAGUGGCGGACGGGUGAGUAACACGUGGGAACGUGCCUUUAGGUUCGGAAUAACUCAGGGAAACUUGUGCUAAUACCGAAUGUGCCCUUCGGGGGAAAGAUUUAUCGCCUUUAGAGCGGCCCGCGUCUGGUUAGCUAGUUGGUGAGGUAAUGGCUCACCAAGGCUACGAUCGGUAGCUGGUCUGAGAGGAUGACCAGCCACAUUGGGACUGAGACACGGCCCAAACUCCUACGGGAGGCAGCAGUGGGGAAUCUUGCGCAAUGGGCGAAAGCCUGACGCAGCCAUGCCGCGUGGAUGAUGAAGGUCUUAGGAUUGUAAAAUCCUUUCACCGGUGAAGAUAAUGACUGUAGCCGGAGAAGAAGCCCCGGCUAACUUCGUGCCAGCAGCCGCCGUAAAAC
rnacentral:rRNA from 1 species